rnacentral:rRNA from 1 species
GACGAACGCUGGCGGCGUGCUUAACACAUGCAAGUCGAACGGAAAGGCCCUGCUUUUGUGGGGUGCUCGAGUGGCGAACGGGUGAGUAACACGUGAGUAACCUGCCCUUGACUUUGGGAUAACUUCAGGAAACUGGGGCUAAUACCGGAUAGGAGCUCCUGCUGCAUGGUGGGGGUUGGAAAGUUUCGGCGGUUGGGGAUGGACUCGCGGCUUAUCAGCUUGUUGGUGGGGUAGUGGCUUACCAAGGCUUUGACGGGUAGCCGGCCUGAGAGGGUGACCGGCCACAUUGGGACUGAGAUACGGCCCAGACUCCUACGGGAGGCAGCAGUGGGGAAUAUUGCACAAUGGGCGGAAGCCUGAUGCAGCAACGCCGCGUGCGGGAUGACGGCCUUCGGGUUGUAAACCGCUUUCGCCUGUGACGAAGCGUGAGUGACGGUAAUGGGUAAAGAAGCACCGGCUAACUACGUGCCAGCAGCCGCGGUGAUACGUAGGGUGCGAGCGUUGUCCGGAUUUAUUGGGCGUAAAGGGCUCGUAGGUGGUUGAUCGCGUCGGAAGUGUAAUCUUGGGGCUUAACCCUGAGCGUGCUUUCGAUACGGGUUGACUUGAGGAAGGUAGGGGAGAAUGGAAUUCCCUGGUGGGGCGGUGGAAUGCGCAGAUAUCAGGAGGAACACCAGUGGCGAAGGCGGUUCUCUGGGCCUUUCCUGACGCUGAGGAGCGAAAGCGUGGGGAGCGAACAGGCUUAGAUACCCUGGUAGUCCACGCUGUAAACGGUGGGUACUAGGUGUGGGGUCCAUUCCACGGGUUCCGUGCCGUAGCUAACGCUUUAAGUACCCCGCCUGGGGAGUACGGCCGCAAGGCUAAAACUCAAAGGAAUUGACGGGGCCCCGCACAAGCGGCGGAGCAUGCGGAUUAAUUCGAUGCAACGCGUAGAACCUUACCUGGGUUUGACAUGGAUCGGGAGUGCUCAGAGAUGGGUGUGCCUCUUUUGGGGUCGGUUCACAGGUGGUGCAUGGCUGUCGUCAGCUCGUGUCGUGAGAUGUUGGGUUAAGUCCCGCAACGAGCGCAACCCUUGUUCACUGUUGCCAGCACGUUAUGGUGGGGACUCAGUGGAGACCGCCGGGGUCAACUCGGAGGAAGGUGGGGAUGACGUCAAGUCAUCAUGCCCCUUAUGUCCAGGGCUUCACGCAUGCUACAAUGGCUGGUACAGAGAGUGGCGAGCCUGUAAGGGUGAGCGAAUCUCGGAAAGCCGGUCUCAGUUCGGAUUGGGGUCUGCAACUCGACCUCAUGAAGUCGGAGUCGCUAAUAAUCGCAGAUCAGCAACGCUGCGGUGAAUAAGUUCCCGGGGCU